rfam:Helianthus annuus linkage group 11, whole genome shotgun sequence.
AUACCUUUCUCGGCCUUUUGGCUAAGAUCAAGUGUAGUAUCUGUUCUUAUCAGUUUAAUAUCUGAUACGUGGGCCAUCGGCCCACUCGAUAUUAAUCUUAUUUUUUUUAUGGGGAAAGGCCCAUCACAAUAGCUUUUUUUGGUAAGGCUGUCAUGCUUUUUUUGAACGACCAACAAAUCAAUCUCGAGCACUCUCA